CAUGAGGGAGGGAGGGAGGGAGGUAGGGAGGGGGGGAGAAAACCAGUGCAAGAGAGGAAGUAAGUGUUCAUUACAAACUGUGCCUCUGGGUUGUGGGCAUGCCCAGUAGAGUUUGCCUUGCAGCCUGAAAUCCAGCCUCUAAAUUUGAACAGAGGGAGACAAGGUGACUGUUGCUGCUCUCUCUCUCUCCCUAUCUCUCGCUCUCUCUCUCUCACUCACUCAGUCUCUCUCUCUCUCUCUCCCUAAUGUUUUCUCCUCCUCUCCAAGUAGUAUGUUUUUCUUUUCUUUGCAAUGGAGGACCAAGAGGAGGCGCAGAAUUCAGCCAGUCAAACACAGAAGGGAAAGUAAAGAGAGGCAGAGGAGAAAGGAGCAGGAUGAGGAGACCAGAGAGGAAGACUUCAGCCACAUCUUCCACUCUUCCUCUCCCUCAACACUUCAUCUUCCCGACCACUGACUUCACCUCAGAAACAGCGCAGGCACCAACUUCAAAAGGCAGCCAGGAGGGAGCAGGAGUGUGAAAUCUGAGGAGGAGAGGCGAGAUAAGAGGACGUUGACCGGCGCUCUGUUUGCUGUGCUGUCCAGGAGCUGCCAGGACUGGAGGCUACAAGCAACUGAUGACAUGUGGCAGCUAUUAUUGAUCAUGGCCCGCCGCUGCCGCAGGAUGAAGACCCUUGAUGGAAAACGCCGAAGGCGGCAGGCUGAAGGAAGGACGAGUGCGGGAGUCGUCCUGGAUCCAAAGGGGAGGGUGAGUUGGUACCAGCAUACACUCUUCCUCUCCUCUCCCCUCUAAGCUCCCCAUCUGUUUCCUGAGCUUCAGACCACCAUGGUAGCACCAAGGAAGCGCCGGGCGCUGUGAUCGUGCUCGUCUUAUUCUUUGUGCAGCCUCUCAGGAGGAUUCAGAAGCGACGUUGAAUCAGGCCAGCCACGCCGCUGACAAUCAAACGGGCACCGCGUUAUUUUAUUAACAGCGCAGGAUGUGACAGUAGGCGAGCAUGCAAGUCACGGUGUCAGAUGGACUGUUGAUGCUGUGCCAUCCGAUAGCCUCGUGUUUCGUAUAUGCAGCGGGCGCAUCUGCACCGGGCUGCUGCCAUGGCAGUAAUUACAAAUCAGGCGGUGAUUUAGUAUCUGCCUGAGAUGGCGGGAGAUCUUUGGGCUGACUGUACCUGAUAGCAGGAAGCAUUUUCAAAGUGCUGUAUUGUUCAGCCAAAUGGGGAGGGGGGUGAGGGGCUCGGAGAAAGAGAGAGUGAUAGAGAGCGGGAGAGAGACCGGGAGAGAGAAAG